AGACUUGGACAAUGGGCAGGCAGGACACAGGCAGAUGGGGAAACUGAGGCUUAGAGAGGUUAAGUAACCGGGCCAAGGUCACCCAGCAAGGACGUCUAAACUUGGAUUUACAUGGAGAUCUGUCUACCCCAAGGCUCAUGCUUUGCCAGGGGCUCUCCCUCCAGAUGCCGGGUGAGGCAGGCCCUCUGGAAAAGUGCCCAAUGGCAGACCCUUCCCUGUCCUCUCUGGUACAAGGCAUCUGUGUCAAACUGACAUCAGAAUGUCUGGCCAUGUGCUGUACAUGCCACCUGUGUGACUAGGCAGGAGCUCCCACCUGGCUCCUUAGUAGGGGACAGAUGGACGUUUGUCCCACCCACUGACUCUGACACUCAGAGCUACGGCAGGACUUCUGAGAGCAGGGCCUUGGCUUGCUUGGGAGGAAGCCCAGGCCUGGCACAACUCCCCCUCGCCCAGUCUGUCUCCCCUCCAGCCCCCUCUGGUUCAGGCCAGGGGCUGGGGAGCAUGCUCAGAAGCCAGGCUGUGACUAUACGAAUUCGCGUCUGGAACCCAGGAUUUCCCAGGGAAGGGGCGUCCGCAAAUCCCACCCCUUCACCAAAGGGAGCGUCGCUUCUAGUUCUGCCCUGGCUUCGCCUGGCAAGGCAGCCAGAGACCUGUGGGCGAAGCUAAGAAAGCUACCAGGUUCCGGCUGGCGUGGACAGCGGGGGACAGCAGUCAGGAGACAGUGAUGAACGCCAGCUGUGGCACGGCCAUCUUCCUCACCACGGACAUGAGACUGCAAGUGUCCGAGGAGCCAUCAGCCCUGUCGGCAGAUGACAAACCGGGCUGGCAGAGAGGACAAACAAGUACAGGGCCCCUCAGCCUGUAAGUGGCUGACCUGUAAACCCAGCCCCAGCCUAUGUCGCUCCAACGCCCUCAUUCUCUUCUCCCCACCAGGUCGCCUCUGAGGAAGGGAUGGCUCCCAGGCCAGCUAAGCUUGUCCUGCUGGCGUCCACGGACAAGGGGCCUCAGACACCCAGGCCUGGGCGCCCAGCUCCUGCCGCGUUCAGGUCUCAGGCGGGCGGCGUUGGGAGCAGCAGCCACCCAGCCGGAGGGGGUGGCGAAGCCACAGCUGAGUUUAUGAAGAGCAAAAGAUGACUCCAGCUGCACAGGAAACUCAAGUUUGCAUUCUCCUGACUUUCUGUGGAGGGCCAUGGAUACAAAGUGGAAUCUCACAUUCUCUGUGGAGCUCACUCGAACCUUCUGCAAGCAAGAAAAUCGGGUGGCGGAUGUGGGGAGGCUUCCCUAGGGCCCUGGCGUUUGGGGAACUAGAGGAGCUGAGGGGAAAGAGGAAACCAUCAUUCAGUACAUCAGUAGGGAGAAAAUUACAUAGGAAUUUUAAUAAAACCGCUGGAUCUCAUUUCCUUGCCAGAGUCCAUUCCAGCCACCAGUCACUGGGCCCGGGGGCUCUAAGGGGCUGUGUGCCAAGGGCAGCAGGACAAGGAGUGGCAGGGGACUCUAGGGAGAAGGGGGCCAGCACUCGCUGGGCACCACCUAUGAGUCAGGAAUUAUGCCAGGCACAUUGCUCCACUUCUCUUAUCAAAACCCCACAACACCCCUCUGUAGUUGGGGUUAUUAGGCCCAUUUUGCAGAUGGGGAAACUUAGGCUCGGAGAGUUUGAAUGACAUGCCCAA